rnacentral:rRNA from 1 species
AGAGUUUGAUCCUGGCUCAGGAUGAACGCUGGCGGCGUGCCUAACACAUGCAAGUCGAACGAAGCGCCUUUUGGGAUUCUUCGGAUGAACAUUUGGUGACUGAGUGGCGGACGGGUGAGUAACGCGUGGGUAACCUGCCCUGUACAGGGGGAUAACAGCCAGAAAUGGCUGCUAAUACCGCAUAAGCGCACAUGAGGACAUCCUCAAGUGUGAAAAACUCCGGUGGUACAGGAUGGGCCCGCGUCUGAUUAGCUGGUUGGCGGGGUAACGGCCCACCAAGGCGACGAUCCAUAGCCGGCCUGAGAGGGUGAACGGCCACAUUGGGACUGAGACACGGCCCAGACUCCUACGGGAGGCAGCAGUGGGGAAUAUUGCACAAUGGGGGAAACCCUGAUGCAGCGACGCCGCGUGAAGGAAGAAGUAUCUCGGUAUGUAAACUUCUAUCAGCAGGGAAGAUAGUGACGGUACCUGACUAAGAAGCCCCGGCUAACUACGUGCCAGCAGCCGCGGUAAUACGUAGGGGGCAAGCGUUAUCCGGAUUUACUGGGUGUAAAGGGAGCGUAGACGGUGUGGCAAGUCUGAUGUGAAAGGCAUGGGCUCAACCUGUGGACUGCAUUGGAAACUGUCAUACUUGAGUGCCGGAGGGGUAAGCGGAAUUCCUAGUGUAGCGGUGAAAUGCGUAGAUAUUAGGAGGAACACCAGUGGCGAAGGCGGCUUACUGGACGGUAACUGACGUUGAGGCUCGAAAGCGUGGGGAGCAAACAGGAUUAGAUACCCUGUAGUCCACGCCGUAAACGAUGAAUACUAGGUGUCGGGGAGCAAAGCUC